ensembl:rRNA 5S_rRNA 5S ribosomal RNA
CCUUACGGCCACACCUCCCUGAGCACGCCCGAUCUCGUCUGAUCUCGGAAGCUAAGCAGGGUCGGGCCCGGUUAGUACUUGGAUGGGAGACUGCCUGGGAAUUCCAGGUGCUGUAAGCC